CGGCCCGGAGGGGCAGCGAGCGGCGCGGGCACGCCGGGGAGGCAGCUGGGGAGGUUUACGAAGCUGUGCGGGCUCCCGGGUGGGCUGGAAGUAGUGCUGCUGGCUACGGACCGCGGAGUUGGGAGUUCCAUCCACGCCAGAGGAGGGAGUUCUUUCAGGCUGCCCGGGGGAGGUGGAGGUUCCAUCUCCGGAGACACUCAGACCCCGCCUGGAUGGGGUCCUGCGUGGCCUUCCCUAGGCAGGGGGAUUGCACUCGCUGUCCAGAGGUCCCUCCAGCCCCUCCCGUGCUGCUUUGGCAGAGCGGCGCUGUCCUGCCCUGGGCCACUGGAGGUCUUUACGGAGCCCUCUAAUUGCCUGUUUGAAAUGGAAAGUCAACUGCCAAACAGAGGUCUGCAGUGCUGAGCAUGACUCGAGCCCCACUGCCUUCAGACCCAGCCCGGAGGACACCCACACCUUUCCCGUUUGCCACCAGAUGGCAUCACGUUGGGCACUGAUGGGUUCCUCUCCUGAGGCUGCAGCUGCUGCUGACUCUAAAGGACACAAAGACAACUCAAAAGGAGGAAGAGGUUCAAAAUGGAGCAAGAGGCUCAGUGCUCUGCAUCUGAGUAGAGUAGAUCUGUCUGCUGAAAAUGCUGAUACCAGCUCCUGUAUCCUGAUGCUUUUGUGAGUCAGAAAUGAUCCAUUUUCCAGCACUGGCUUUAGAAGAGGCUUCCUGGGACAUGUUUUCAGCAGAAAAUCAUGGCCUGUGUGUAUAAAAAUGCUGCCUGCCCGUGGGGAAUGCAGGUAAGAGCAUUCGUGUGUGCAAAGGAGAUCUGGGUGUUCUGCUAGAGGAAGGAGGAUUACCUUGGUCUCAAAGCAGGACAGUGCACUUAGGACACAGUUCUUUGGUGACUUUCAACUCAAGGCAUAGAUCCCAGCCUCUCAUACACUACAACCACCUGGAUCUUCUCCCAGCCCUGAGUGACAUGGAGAUGUGUGCUGCUUGCCAAAGGUGUCUUCAAACCUUGCUGUGUGACAAUCAGCCUGGAUAAAGGUCCUCAGAUCCAGUGUAUAACCUUUGGUCCUCCAUGCUGGCAUUCAGGAGCGAGGCUGCUCAGUCAGGAAGAGGGACAGGGAUGUUCCAGAGUUCCACUGGAGGAUGUGAGGAUGAUGAAGGGAAUGAAACGUCUGUCUGAGGAGGAAAGGCUGAGAGACUUGGAGCUGUUUAGCCUGGAGAAGAGCAGCCCAAGCAGGGAUUUUAUGAGUUUUCAUCAUUUUCUGAGGGUGGGGGUAAGAAGAAGGGGUCAGGCUCUUGUCAGUGGCGCUCUGUGAUGGCACAAGAGGCAAUGGACACAAACUGGAACCUAAGAAUGAGGAAAAGCUUCUUUAUUGUGAGGGUGCUGGAGUCCUGGAGCAGGCUGCCCAGAGAGGUUGUGAAUUCCCUGCUCUGGAGACUUUCCAAACUGACCUGGAUGUGUUCCUGUGUGCCCUGCCCUGGGUGAUCCUGCUCUGGCAGGGGGCUUGGACUCGAUCUCCCAAGGUCUUUUCCAACCCCUACCAUUCUGUGGUUGUGUGUGUGCUGUCCCUGGUGUGUUUUCAGACCGUCCUACUCCUCAAGCUGCCCUUAAGGCCAGCAUGAUGAAUGCACAUGGGAGGUGGUGUGAUGAGUGGGGAAUGUACGUGCAGGUCCUGCCACGAAGUGACAAAGCCUCUGUGUGUGCAACUCUGCCUCCCACGAGCUAUUUUGAUAAUGUAGCCUGUAGGUGUCCAAGUAAAAGAUACUAAGUGCUGUGCUUCA